GUGAAAUUUUCAACCAUCCAUUCUUCAAUAAAGAAGUUGCUCAAGGAAGAACAAUAAUUGGGGAAGAAGUGCUCCAAGACUCUCUCUCUAUUUGAAGAUGUGUGUAUAUCAUCAUAGGAUCCAAAUUAGCCCUUGGGAUUGGGAAAAUUAUGGGUUUGCAUAGCGAAGAAACUCAAAAGAGAAAAACUCAAAGUAAACCGAGCUUAAGAGUCAUUCAAGAAUUUGUCGCAAUUCAACAUAAUGUAUGAGUUAACUUCUAUGACGGAUCCGGAGCAGUCGGAAAUUCAAAUGUAUAAUAGUAUCUUGCAAGGCAUCCCUUUGUCCAGAUGAUCUUCGACAAAAAUUGAUGCAGCUCUUGUUUGUGCAUCUAUCUCAACAAGAAGAGAUCCUUGUCAUCCUCAAAGAAUUUCUCCAGAUCCUCGACUGUUUGGUUGACAGCAUGGAGGAUCAUCUUCUUCACCUGCUCAAUAUACAAACUCGAUAUCAUUUCCUGAUAAUCGACAAUUUUAGUUCUCAGAAACUAAUGGAUGGAUGCAUAAGGUUGUCACAACAAGAUACCUCUAGUUUAUCUUCUCUGGCCCUGUGGUUUAUCGGCAGCUUCCUGAACUCCUCUGCCAAUUUAAGGCACUCAUGCAGGUUUUCAGGGGAGACGAAAUCGGCAGCUACCUUGGUGCAGGACUGCACGUUUGAUGAGGAAAUUCGAUGUUGAAAUGCCUAUACAGAUGAAAAAAUUGAAGAAAAUGUAAAAAGUGCUGGUUAGAUUUUACCUUGAGGUUCCUGACUUGAUGGGGGCAACCGGCUGGGAUGAAUACGGCCUCCCCAAGCUUUUGCAUGAACGUCCAAGGUACAACGCCUGAAAAUGACCACGGUAAAUGUAUAUAUAGUUCCGUGAUAAAGAGAUGGUUUUGAAGGGUUUGCUUUACUCACCGUAUUCUUCCUUCAGCCGUAACUUGUGUUCAUUCGAUAGGUAGAAGCACUGGUCGAGAAUCGGAUGGACGACCUGUACAGGGUAACGGAAAUGAAAGUAUGUUUUAAUCUGUAUGAAAGUUCCUAAGUUUAUCAUCUAGAGAUUACCUCUUCAACUGGAGCGCAAAAGGUGUGGCGAAAUUCACGCGAAUGCUUUCUCAGGUACUCGUUCAAUUUUGGAACAUCUUCUCUUCGGAAAAUAUCCCACAGUGCGCCGCCGUCCUCGCUUCCUGCAGAUGCCGUGCAGGACAUGUGCUCGUGGUCGUCCUGUUUGGAUUCAGUGAAAACCCUCUUUUUCCCCAAGCGCGGGAUGUCUCUGCCUCCGGACACACUGAACACUCCAAGUCCGCGAUCUUCAACUGUUUGGGACAUGGAUUCUGUUUCAUCUUGAGCCCUAUGCCUUUCCUUCAGCUGUUCAAUUGCUCGAGUCUGUUCGUCGGUUAGAGCUACUUCGGCUGUGUGCGUCAAAAUGUUCACCUGAGAAGCAGUUAAACAGCCAGACAAUAAGAUCUUUUGAAUUAAAAGGAAUCGAAAGAAACGUGAUAUUAGGCAAAGUUCUUAAGGCUGUACCGCAUCCGACAUGUCCAAGUGAAGCUUGGUCACAGAAUCCCCUCUCCCAAGUUCUUGAGCAGUACCGUACGCUAUGUAUGUCUUCGGGCCCAAGUCAGGUUUUAUGAUCGUGGGCGGAAGCUUUGUGGCAAUGUUAAGAAUUCCCGCCCGAGGAUCUGUGUAUUCUUGAAAUGGCAAGGCACAGUUGAACUCAUUGCAGUGGCGAGGCAACAGAUCCUCGAAUCGAUCCGAUGGUGGCCAGUCCUUGAGCUUAAGCAUCUCCGGCCAGCAGUUUUCGUACUGUCUCCCUUCCACAUAGCCUUUGAAGAAUUUGCGGGCAUCGAUCUCCACCUGAAAAUAUUAGCGAAAUUAAAGCAGUUCUUCGGGUAAUUGUUUGAAUGUGUAAGCAAGCAUUAGAAAGAAGUGAAAAUUACCUCGCAACCGGACAGGCAGUCGAUGGUUUUCACAUCAGACAUUUUCAAAUCUUUCUGUUCAAACAACGCCCGCAGCAUCACCUUCGGUUCCCAACUCAAACCAGUUCCCUGCUCGAGCGCGGCCCUUACGAUUAUGGGCUCGCCGUUAGCCCAGUGCCUGCGGAAGUGCAUGAGUUCUUCCUCGUUCAGAGUCUCCUUCGAGUUUGGGCUAUACAGAAUGCUGUCUUUAGAGCCUUCUGCCCAACACGGCCUUGACUUGGCGCCGUUGGACACGAUCGGGUGAGCCAUGAUAUCCAUGGCUUUGCAGCUUCUGAUCACCGCGUGGAUUCGUUUCCACAGAGUAUUCAUCCAGCCGAGUGGAAGGAGAUGACUGAGCUCGAGCUUACCGUUACCACAUCCACCGUGUUCUUUGGGAGGGCAGACGAUGAUCCCAUCUCCUGUGGUGAAGGAUUCGAGAGGAAUUUCAUCGAUGCUGUUCAGAGUUUGUGCAGGACAAGUCUUUGGGAGUGGAUCUCCGCCAUGCAUGUAGUCGAUGCCUCUAUCAGUGUACACAGGAAUAGAUUUCCGAGAGCUUCCUGGCACCUGACCUGCUCGAAUCUCCUGGGAACAUCUAAGGCACAGUUCGUAAGAGCAGUUUCGACAGCUCCGAUGAAGAUCAAUAAUCGAGGUGGAACAAUGGUCGCUGCAGCAGAUGACAAAUCAAGAAAAUUAAUAACACAACGCAAGGGGAUAAAGGGAAAUGAAGUAAAGGUCUAAACGACGUAAAUCCCUAACCAGUAAACGCGCUCUUCACUGAAGUAAGCUGCCUGAUGUACUUUAAUUUGCUCCCCUGACAAUCGAAAUUCGAUUAUUUGUGAGAUCUUCUUGUCUAUAAUAAAGGGAAUUAGCUUUUAAAUUAAGAGUCGAACCUUUAGUGUCGAGAUCAAUGGCAAUCUCAUCCAUUUGUUCUCGAACAAUAUGUUCCAGGUGUGGAUAGAGCUGGUUGAUAAGAUAGCUCAGAUGGCGAAUCCUCUCUUGAUCAGUGAUCUCUCUUUUA